rnacentral:tRNA from 1 species
GUCAGGGUAGUACAAUGGGUAAGGAACUGGUCUGGUAACCUAAAGGUCACAGGUUCGAUUCCCGGGUAUGACA